rfam:Ixodes scapularis strain Wikel colony gcontig_1107728896230, whole genome shotgun sequence.
GCUCGGCUCGCGAAGUUAGUAGAGCAUGAGACUCUUAAUCUCAGGGUCGUGGGUUCGGGCCCCACGUUGGGCG